CUCUAAUUGCCAUUGCCAAUCCUCAAUUGCUAUCUCUACGCAUGCGUUAUACAAAAAGAGUGAUAGUAGCUCCCAAAUCAAUACCUUAAUUGUGAGCACCUAAAUCUCCUUCAUAUAAACUCCAAAUCAUACAAAACUUACACCAAAACCAUAGCCAAAACCUAAAAUUGCUGAUCUUAGCCUUCAAAGCUUGAAUGGCCCUAAAAAACUAAC
rnacentral:lncRNA from 1 species